rnacentral:lncRNA from 1 species
GAAACAGCUAACCACCUCCCUUUUGUUUAGUUCCCAUUGUUUCCUUUUGAGCUAUCGCUGAAUUUUUCGGAAACGUUAACACCUUCCAUAGCAAGAAUCAAAGGACGCGUUUUACUCCAAAUUAAUGAUAUUUAUCACCUCUACGUAACCCCCUAUAUAUACCAUCACCUACCUUUGUCUCGACACCACAGUACCCUUCGAACAUAGUUGCACUUCGCCGGAAAUAACGGAGCUUUUGCGGGAGUUGCCGGAACCGGAGAAGACAACCGCGACCUCUUUCGUCGUCAUCGUUUCGCCGCUGCAUAUCCACCGGAAGACUGGAGCAUCGUGGGAGCCUUUGAACGCAAGUCGGAAACCCGCAAUCUUUUACGUUUCGGCUAAUCUCACUCUAGUGCUCCCUUCAAUCCAUCAUCGCUCAACGAUAGUACUAUAGUUUGGACUCAGCACCUGUCCACUCAGGGGUUGUUAAGGACAAUUUGUUACAUGGAUCACAGUGGUGAGUGUGUAUUACGAACUCCAUUGGGCAGUCAACCCGCAGUCAUUGGUAUCGAUAGGUUCAUGUCAAUAACCAACAUGCUUCAUUUCACACUGUGUGCUUAAGAUGUUUAGAUGCUUGGCUUGCUGUGAAAUCAAGGCUAGGAAAGGUCUAGAAACAAAUAAACGAAUUGUCCGUAUUUGAAAUCUGAGUUGUCGGAACAGAACAAUUUGACUAGAUUUUGUCUGUAAUAAUUAUAUUACGUUUUAUGUCAUGGUAUGGGACGUGAUGCUUUAAAUAAUUGGUAAUUAUAGUUGU